rnacentral:lncRNA from 1 species
AGACAGGGGGGAGGUCAGCGCAGGUACCCCGAGGCGUGCAGGCUGGAAUAACCCGCAUCCGGAAAAGGCCUCAUGUACCAACGUUUCUUCACGUGUCAUUUGAAUUCAAGUCUGAGAACCAGGAUUCUGGACCAAAGGAAAGGCAUGAUGACUUCAGACCUGUGCAUCCUGUUUUCUGUCUCAGUCGUUGACACCACCAGCCGCCUCGUUGUCCCAGCCAAAAUACGGGAGUCAUCCUUAACUCUUCUCCUCACACCCCACUCAUACCCAACAGCAAAGGCUUGUUUAUUCCUUUUAAAUGUCAUUUUUCCUGGGGCGCCUGGGUGGUACAGCGGUUAAGCGUCUGCCUUCGGCUCCGGGCGUGAUCCCGGCGUUGUGGGAUCGAGCCCCGCAUCAGGCUCCUCUGCUAUGAGCCUGCUUCUUCCUCUCCCACUCCCCCUGAUUGUGUUCCCUCUCUCGCUGGCUGUCUCUAUCUCUGUCAAAUAAAUAAAUAAAAUCUUUAAAAAAAAAUAAAUAA